rnacentral:rRNA from 1 species
UGGGGAAUUUUGGACAAUGGGCGCAAGCCUGAUCCAGCCAUGCCGCGUGCAGGAUGAAGGCCUUCGGGUUGUAAACUGCUUUUGUACGGAACGAAAAGACUCCUUCUAAUAAAGGGGGUCCAUGACGGUACCGUAAGAAUAAGCACCGGCUAACUACGUGCCAGCAGCCGCGGUAAUACGUAGGGUGCGAGCGUUAGUCGGAAUUACUGGGCGUAAAGCGUGCGCAGGCGGUUAUAUAAGACAGAUGUGAAAUCCCCGGGCUCAACCUGGGAACUGCAUUAGUGACUGUAUAGCUAGAGUACGGCAGAGGGGGAUGGAAUUCCGCGUGUAGCAGUGAAAUGCGUAGAUAUGCGGAGGAACACCGAUGGCGAAGGCAAUCCCCUGGGCCUGUACUGACGCUCAUGCACGAAAGCGUGGGGAGCAAACA